GCCGGGUAUGGUGGCGCAUGCCUGUAAUCCCAGCUACUCAGGAGGCUGAGGCAGGAGAAUCAUUUGAACCCGGAAGGCAGAGGUUGCAGUGAGCCGAGGUUGUGCCACUGCACUCCAGCCCGGGCGACAGAGUGGGACCCUGUCUCAA
ensembl:misc_RNA Metazoa_SRP Metazoan signal recognition particle RNA